GACAGAGGCCUCAAGCGUUAGGCGGAAUCACUGGGCUUAAAGCGCGUGUAGGCGGAUCGUUAAGUGUGUUGUGAAAUCCCACGGCUCACCCGUGGAACUGCUGGGCAUACUGGCGAUCUUGGGCCAACUAGGGGCAACUGGAACAAGCGGUGGAGCGGUGAAAUGCGUAGAUAUCGCUUGGAACGCCGAAGGUGAAAACAGGUUGCUGGGGUUGUGCCGACGCUGAGACACGAAAGCCAGGGGAGCAAACGGG
rnacentral:rRNA from 1 species